rnacentral:rRNA from 1 species
UACGUAGGGGGCGAGCGUUGUCCGGAAUUAUUGGGCGUAAAGAGCGUGUAGGCGGUUCGGUAAGUCUGCCGUGAAAAACCUGGGGCUCAACCCCGGGCGUGCGGUGGAUACUGCCGGGCUAGAGGGUGGUAGAGGCGAGUGGAAUUCCUGGUGUAGCGGUGAAAUGCGCAGAUAUCAGGAGGAACACCGGUGGCGAAGGCGGAUCUCUGGGCCAUUAUUGACGCUGAGGAGCGAAAGCGUGGGGAGCGAACAGG